rnacentral:lncRNA from 1 species
ACGCCUGCCAGCCCCACGGUCCACGGCACCAGAGAAAAGCAGCCACGGCAGCACCAUCGAGAAAGUCCCAGCAGACAGCGGGAGGGUGGAUGUGUUCAAGGAGGAGCCCCUGGGUGGCCCUCGCUGGAUUGAGCCUUUCCCCAUCACUGUGAAGGAACUGCAGAGCCGCUUUGAGACCCUGGGUGGCAGGAAGGAAGGAGAAAGUGGGAGAAACUCACUGUCACCAACAUCAGCAAGUCAGCCUGGGAGCCAUUCAGACAUUUCUCUGAUGGAGUCCAGUGUGAAAAGAGGAAGAGCAAUCUUUGAGAAGAUGUCAUCAGAAAAUGGGCAGAACAGCAAUGCUGAAGGUUAGCCUUACCACUUUGCUCUGAUUUCUCAUUUCAGUUCUCUAUGGCAGUGAUCUCCAAACUUUUUUGAUUA